rnacentral:rRNA from 1 species
AGUGGCGGACGGGUGAGUAACACGUGGGUAAUCUGCCUGUAAGAGCGGGAUAACAGGGUGAAAACGCUGCUAAUACCGCAUAAGCUCACAGAAGGGGAACCUUCAGGGAGAAAAGGGAGCAAUUCGCUUACAGAUGAGCCCGCGGCUGAUUAACUAGUUGGUGAGGUAAAGGCCCACCAAGGUGACGAUCAGUAGCCGGCCUGAGAGGGUGUACGGCCACACUGGAACUGAGACACGGUCCAGACUCCUACGGGAGGCAGCAGUGGGGAAUUUUCCGCAAUGGGCGAAAGCCUGACGGAGCAAUGCCGCGUGAGUGAAGAAGGCCUUCGGGUUGUAAAGCUCUGUCUUUAGGGACGAAGAAGUGACGGUACCUAAGGAGGAAGCCACGGCUAACUACGUGCCAGCAGCCGCGGUAAUACGUAGGUGGCAAGCGUUGUCCGGAAUGACUGGGCGUAAAGGGCGCGCAGGUGGACUAAUCAGUCGGAUGUGAAAACCUGGAGCUUAACUCCGGAACUGCAUCCGAUACGGUUAGUCUUGAGUACAGGAGAGGGUAGUGGAAUUCCCAGUGUAGCGGUGAAAUGCGUAGAGAUUGGGAGGAACACCAGUGGCGAAGGCGGCUACCUGGACUGUAACUGACACUGAGGCGCGAAAGCGUGGGGAGCAAACAGGAUUAGAUACCCUGGUAGUCCACGCCGUAAACGAUGGGUACUAGGUGUAGGAGGUAUCGACCCCUCCUGUGCCGGAGUUAACACAAUAAGUACCCCGCCUGGGGAGUACGGCCGCAAGGUUGAAACUCAAAGGAAUUGACGGGGGCCCGCACAAGCGGUGGAGUAUGUGGUUUAAUUCGACGCAACGCGAAGAACCUUACCAGGUCUUGACAUCCAACUAACGAAGUAGAGAUACAUCAGGUGCCCUUCGGGGAAAGUUGAGACAGGUGGUGCAUGGUUGUCGUCAGCUCGUGUCGUGAGAUGUUGGGUUAAGUCCCGCAACGAGCGCAACCCUUGUUGUUAGUUGCCAUCAUUUAGUUGGGCACUCUAACGAGACUGCCGGGGACAACUCGGAGGAAGGUGGGGAUGACGUCAAAUCAUCAUGCCCUUUAUGACCUGGGCUACACACGUACUACAAUGGCUUAUACAAAGAGAAGCGAGACCGCGAGGUGGAGCAAAUCUCAUAAAGUAAGUCUCAGUUCGGAUUGUAGGCUGCAACUCGCCUACAUGAAGUCGGAAUCAAUAGUAAUCGCGGAUCAGCAUGCCGCGGUGAAUAC